CAAUAAAAACUUUUUUUUUCUUCAUAUGAAAAUGUACCAUCUCAUAGAUUCAAAGUUCCUGGCAAGCUCUCUCCAUGGGUCAAUGUAAUCAUCCCCUUACCUCAAGGCAAUGCUGACCCAUCCAAGAUGGGAGAGUACUUAUCCUAUUUUCAGAUAUUUCCAGGGAAGGGAGCCCAUUACAUUAUUAGGCAAUCUUUUCCAGUGUCUUAAAACCCCAGACAUUCUUAGUACCAGACCUUUCCUGCUGCACCUGAAGUUAAUUUUUCCUUGGUCAGUAAGUGCUUUGAAAGGCACUGACUCUUCAUAUGCUCGAAGGCUCUUGUUACAUCAUCUGCCAGCCUCCGAGGGGAGGGUACCAAGUAAUAGGCUGGCAAGUGGACUUUGAGGGCCUUGUGAGACUUCCUCUCAUGCUCGCUUCUCACCAGCACGAUGGAGCAACAUUGCUGGGUUUUGAUUCCUAACCAGAGCCUGGAACGUAGGACCCAGGGGCCCUGGCAGGUCCAAUUGCCCACUGACCUCUCACCUCACUCGGGAUGUGGUUUGUUGGGCACUUACAGCUUUUCCCUCUCGGCUCUCCAUCCGCACCCUUCAGUUGAAGGUCUUUUGCUGACAGGAUAGAGUUCCCCAAAGGACAAGGGCAGAGCUAGUGAGUCAUUUCAGCACCCCAAUUAGACUCUCUCCUCUGCCCAGAGACCACACGGCGUCUUAAUCAGCUGCUUGGAAGGUGUACCUGGCAGGCAUGUUCCCCACAGCCUGGAAGAUGCUGACCUUGUCAGCUGAGAAACAUCAAAGAGCUAAUGAGAGAACAGGGGUGAGAAAGACCUCACCACCUGGGUGCCUGUCGACCGCAGACUUGCAAGGCCUGACGCGGCUGAGAAAUGUUGUCAGGAGCUCGGAGGAAGUGGAGCCUUCUCUGCUCUGAGGACCUGCCCCCAGCCCCCUUCUGGGGCACAGGAAGGGGAGGGGGCGAAGCUAAAUGGUGGCCACAUGCUCAGUGACUCAGAUGUCACUGCUACCACAAAGGGAAAUCCGUGUGGGGGGUGCCACCUCCAGAGACCUCAUUCACCUGCGAUUCGGGGGAGAAUAGCAUCACCUCAGGUGCCAGGCCCAUUAGCCCCAGAACAUUAGUCAACCGGCCUGUGUUGACAUUUCUGAUUUCAGCUCACGGUUUACAUGAAGGACCUGGCCUCACCAAGAAGCUGAGCCCUCAGGAAGACAACAGCCUUUGGGUACUUCCUGUAGCUAAUGCUGAGCAGAGGAAGGAGAGUCCCCGUGAGUCAGUCCAGUAACUGGACUUUGAUAUGACCUGGGUGUUGGGCACUGACGUUAAUAUAGUUUGUCAUCAGGUGGUCUUGGUCCUUUCCAUUUCCCAAUAAGCUGGAACGUCUAACAGUGAAUUCCAGAUGCCCUGGCAGAAUUUUCACUAUGGUCAGUUGCUAAGGGACUAUCUUCUCUCUACAAGCAUUUUGGAAAUGCUAGUAUUAGUAUUUGGUUGCUUUUUUUCUAUUUUUAAAAAUUGUGAUGUGUGUUUAUUUUUGUUGUGUUUGUUUCUGUCCCAUCCCUCAGCCUCCAGACUCACCCAUCCAAGGAGCUGGUUUCAGGAAACUCAAGAAAUCAUAUGCUGCAGAAGGUUUGGAAAAGGUUGCCCAGGUUUUACAUGAAGAAAGGGACUCUAUCUGUGUGAUUCACCACUGAGUUCCCAGUACGCUGCAUGCUGCAGGCAUAUAGAAGCUCAGAUUCAUAGCUGAUAAAUCUUAAAGAGAGGAAAACACAGUCACAGGGAGUUCCCUUGCAUUGCCUGAAAUUCCACAGCAAGUCAGCGACAAAGCUGGGAGGAGACUCUGUCCUUCCAACUCACAGGCCAGUUCUCUGCGGGAAGCCGUUGUCUGUCUCCUCUUAGGCUCCUUUGGACGCCUCUGGGUGUCAGUUCUCCCAGGGGAAGCAGCGGCUGGGGUUGCGUCUUGAAGCUCGAACUGGCUUUGAGACUGUGCCUGAGACAGGGUGGGCAGGACUCAAAGGUCUGAAAAAGCUGGGAAGGGCCUGAUUUUGGUAAAAUUGGGCCUUCCUGUAGCAACUGGCAGGGGGAGUGACUUGGUCCUCGGGGCAGGAGUUCCCGUGGCCCAGAAUUGCCCAGCAGUCAAAUGUUAGGACACCGGUGUCUGGAGGAGCUCCUGGAAAGGGUCUUCCCGCAGCCUGGCCCUGUGGAGUUGAGGGAGGUUUGGGGAUCUCUCCUCCAGGACAGGCUCCAGAGAGCCCGCAGCAAAAGGGACAGUGUGCCUGCCCCGUGCCUCCCCUGUAGGGCUCUGCUCUGUUUCUUAAGGGGAAGGCUUCUAGCUAUAGUUUUGUGAGCUCCGUUCAGAAAGCUGCCUUCCCCAUGGACAACCCUGACUGGAUCAGAAUGUGAGCAGGAGGGAAACUGACUUUCUAAGAGUCUGUGCUUGGACUGGCCAGCCUUUGUUUCAAGGUCCUGAGAGCCAUGGGACUGAGAGUGUAGGACUGAAGCAGACUUUUGAACACCUACGUUUGCUGUGCCUCAGUUUCCCCACCAGGAGCCUGUUGUCCAGGGGUUUGGAAAGCCGAUCCAGGAAAACACCUGCGACUGUAGGCAGCUCUGGUCCUUCCGAGGCCCUGCUCAUCAGACUUCCCCAGGGUCAGACAUCCUUCCGCACAGCUCUUGUUCAGUCUGUGGCCCAAACAGCCUAGGGCAUGAUGGAGGCCCGGAACAAUGGUGGUUUUGCUUACACAGCGUGCUUGGCCGCUGGCUGGACUCACGCAAUGCUCACGGAACCGGUGUGGGCUGCCACAGCUUCCCUGUGGGACAUUUAGCUCCCUCACUUCAAGUCCAUCAAAGGACUUGUUAUCCUGGUCCCCUUUCUGUCCGUUGUUCCUCUCCCCUUGGGGCUGUCCUCUCACCCUCUCCUGCCAUCCCUCCUCUUUCCAAGCUCUUGCCCCACAGAACUGCAAGGACUCUGAGACCUGGGACGUCUCACGGAGCCGGCUUUUGUCAGGCCAGUCUCCAUCGCUCUGGGGAGUCUGAAGGCUUUUUCUUUUAAAGAUAAGUUGGGGAGAGGGUUAGAAGAGUGCUGAGAAGUGACGCCUGUUUCUUCUUUCUUUUCCUUUCCCCCUCUGGGGCUCAGAGACCAGGGUUUUUUUCUUUUUUACAGUACAAUUUGGCAGGCCCCAUCUUUUUCUGACAGAAAAAAAAUAACAGGCAUAUUUUGGGCGAUUACUCAACUGGGGUCCUUUGUGACAGGAUAUGCAGCUGCGUGACUAAUGGAGCUGGCUUUCUCCUGGCUUCCUUCCCCUUUCAGAGUUCUUGUUUACUGUGCUAUACCAAAAAAAAAAAAAAAUGCCAUAAGCUACAGAUUUUUAUUAAAAAAAUUGCCUUGAGAGAUACUCAAAGGCAAUAAAUCCUGGGAUACUCCAUUGCCAGGGCCGUGAGUCCACACCCUCUUCCACUUUUUCUUUUCAAAUGCUCAAGCCCUUGACUCAUGACAUGUGAAUCUUCUUCUCCCACCCCCACAUCCCUGUUUUCUUCUGAACAUAUGUCCAACAGAUCGUGUGUGUGAGUGUGAGUGUGUGUGUGUGCGUGCGCGCGUGCACGUGGUGGGGGAAGGGAGCAAGAUGGGAACCAUAUUUUUAGUGCUUAACUCAGCAAUUGCUAAAGGAAGGAAUAAUGACUUCCAGGGGCCUCAGGGCCUUUUUUUUCCCAAGGCCUAUGCAUUUCCAUAAUCUACGGCAAUUUUGUGGUGUAAGCAAAAGUUAUUACAAAACAUGGAACUAGCUUAACGAGGAAGGGUAUGUUCUAAACGGGGGAACUGUCUCUUUACAGAAGAAAUCCACGUUUGGAGGGCUUUGGAAUUCAGAAUCCUCAGGCUUCCCAUAGAACUUUUGGAAGAGACUUUCGCUAGCUUGUAGCGUUCAACAGCUGGAGCUGGCCUUUUAACUUUCCUAGAGAUCAACAAGCUUUUCGUUUCAAAAGGUAUAUGGCCUGUGGAUGGGAAAAAUUGACUAGCGACUUAGCUUUGAUAGAGACAGAUUGGUGUAGAUGAGGCACAAGAUUUGUGGCCAGGUGAUGGGUUGGAGCCUUGAUUGUGAAAUGGAGCAAGUCAUUUAAGAUCUGUAGGUCUCUGAUGUUAAGACAAGGAUAGCAUCUCCUCCUGCCUAGGUUGCUGGCAAGAAAAGUGAGACGAUAGCAGUCCAAGGCGUGGGGGGAGCUACAAAGAAGUAUGCAGUGAUCACUUCUAAUGCUCCUUCAUCCAAAGGGUGGGCUCAAGCAAGCAUUCAACAGAUGAGAGGGGCUUGUUCCAUGAGAACUAUGAUGCCAACUGAUGUGCAGGGGCGAGGGUACUCAUACGGUGACCCAGGAUGCAAUAUUGCAGGGGUGUUUUUGAGGCUGAUCUGGCCUCCAACUUUGCCCACACCCUAGUCAUCUUCCACGCAGGUCUCAGAAUCAGAACUUCGAUCAUGUUCCUUUCAGGAAACUGUCUCAUCGAACCCAGACAAAAGGCUCCGCUAACCUCAUUGUGCCUGCCUUUUCUUCUGUUAUGAAUUCAUUUUUUGGCGUGUACUCUGCCCUAGAGAGGUGAAUACCAGACACAGUCUACUCUGGCCCCUGGCCCAACAUUUUUACUGGAUGUUGGUUGGAGGCCCCCCCUCCUCCUUUACCUUCCGUCGGUUCCUCUUCCUGCUCCUCUCUGUUAAACCUUGCUCAUUUGUCAUUUCUUUUAAGAUUCCAUCUACAACUUAGCUCCUCCUAGAGUCUCCAUGACCAAGGACUCCUUGAGUGGACACUCCAAACCCUCCAGUAAACCAUAGCAACUAUCUUUUUUACUCCUCAUAGCUCAAGUCUAAUGUCCUCGGCAAGGGAAGUUGACUUGAUUUUGCCAGAGGGUAAACUGAGGCACCAGUCAGGGAACUAACUGGCCAGGGAUUACACAGCAAGUCCGCGACACAGACAGGAAUAGAAACCCCACAUCCUGAUUCCAUUUCGCCUGGAGUUUAAAGAGGCACCUUAGCUUGGAUAUCCCAGAAUAGCUUCUCCCAGGCCGACCAGCUGUGAAGUGAUGUGUUGCAAGGGUUAUUUUUUGCCUUGGCUUAAUGCUUAAAAAAACACCCCAAACUCCUAAAAUCGGCUAAGAAAAUCCGUUUCUCACAAUGCCCUCAGCUUGCGGAGUUUAAACCCAGUAUAUUACAUCAUGAACGCCUCCUGGCCUCCCUCUCACUCACAGUGACGCUCAGGUAUCUGAGUUAAGCUCAGAAAUCAUAGUUUAUUGAAGGAAACAGAUCAUUAAGUCACUCCACUGGACUGAAGCCGUCGACAUUGCUUAUUUGGAGAAGCUGAGCGUUGAAUAAUGCUCCCUUGAUUCAUGUGGACUGGACUAGCAGGAGCUGUUCAGCGAAGGGUGUGGCCAUCAGAUGGCAUGAGGCCCAUGGAGGCUGCUAGGAAGAGGGGAAGUGACAGUGGUGUGCUGGAGCUGGCUUGCACUGGCUUGUGAAGGCUGAUGGUUAAAUUUUCAGGAAUUUUGUGAUCCAGUCGGUAAACACAGCCAUUAUGAAAAAUUAAAUUGCAUAAACUUGCAAUUAAAUAAAUUAUAUUAACAACAAAGGUAUUAAAUACUAAAAAAAGAUCACAUUGUAAUCAUUCUGCUACAGUUUACUAUUAUCUAUGCUCUUGAUUUGUACGCCCAUUAUGUCUCUACGGUGGGAAUACCACACAGUGGGACGCUGCUGUGAACCUCUUCCCAAUUCCACACUCAGUAAUUGCACGUCAGGUAGGUUGAAAUCAGCCGUGGUAAGAGUAUUUACACCACAGAAGUUGGCAAACUCUACGAUUCAGGGUUUGAUUUAUUGUUUUGUUGCUUGUCUAGACUUAAGAAAGUGGUAGAGAACAUGUUAAUCAAGUAGAUUAAACAUAAACGUGUGCCAUAUCUUUUGCAACGACAUUGUGAAUAACACAGAGUCAAGGAACUAUUCUUCCAGGAUUCAAAAACGGUUAUCCAAUUCAGCAAAGAAGUCGCUCCUGUCAUUGAAAAAUGAAGUUCUGAAAUAGGAGGAAAAAACUGCGUGUGUUUCACUUUGGUGAAGAUGAAAGUCUUCAAGUCAUUAUCUUUGUCUGCCCAGCCCAGGGCGUCUGCUUUUCUUAGCCUGAAAACAGGUACAACUUUUUUUCCGUUCGAUAGCUUUCAAUAGGUGGUCUCAGACCCUGACGUUACUACAGGAUUUGAUGUUUCUGUUUGGCCAGAGCUGGUUUGUCCAGAGAACCAGUCAGUGUGGUCAGUGGACUGUGGAUGAGUAUCUAGAGGUGUUUACAGUGAAAAAAACACACAGUAGAGAACGUUCUGGACUUAAUUUCCAUACAUGAGGAACUCUAUUUUCUAGGCACUGCCUGUCCAUGGGGGCAUGGAUGGGAGAUUAAUCCAGAACACCGUUCACGGUGCAAAGCAAGGGAAAGGUGAAACACCCUCAGAAGGGGGACUGUGAAGCUGCAUCCUGGCUGUCCAGGCCCAGGGGUAGAUGAACACGAUGAGCUCAUGGUUAUUUUCCAUCCCUUAUCAUCUAUGGGACUUCCCUGAUGCUUGUGUAGCUGUUUGUAAUUUGUUCUUUGGCUAGUACUUUCUAGAUUGCUCUGAGGGAAAACACUGAUUUCUGCAUUUGUAUGUUGGACUGUACGAAUAGCGAAGUUUCAGGUUCCCGCCCUCUGUUUAUGGAUUGCCUCAGGAAAUUUUAUCCAAUAUAAAAAUGGGCUCAAGAGAAAGAAAAGUCUUGAAUCAGUGUAUCUGGACUCUUUGGGACCUCUGGGCCCAGAUGGGUCCAUCUGCAAACAAGGACUUACUGUUCCUACUCCUAGCCCUGUUGCCCUUGGAGUUCUCUGAGGGCAGAUAGGCCUUCCUCUCUGCCUAGAAUUUUGAAAUUCUCUGAUGGAAGUUUUGGUGUAAUGGCAAAUGUCAUUGUGAGGCCUCCGAAUGUUUUCCACUCAUCACCAAUCAUCCUUCCACAAAGCACUUUUUAAAUCCUUCCCCAGCACUAAUAAGGAUUGAGAAACAAUAGAGAUUUCAUGCUCUUGUUCAAAUUGCACGGAAAGUUCCAGGGGCUACGGGAGGGAAGGAUGGGGAGGAGAAUAAAAACAGAAUGUCAGGGUCUCAGGAUGUCCAGCUUAAAAUAUUAGCCUCUGGGACUCACUGCUUCAAACAUGUCACUGAGUCUAUAAAUACCAUUCUCAUCACCUGGAGUUGUAAAGCUAACAUUGUUUAGCUCUCUGGCUUUGCAUUUAUGGUCUUGUUUGAUUGAAGACACUGUUCACCCAACCACCACCUUCCUUGGGCCUCUGUGGGAUUCCAGGACUGUCAGGGGACUGCCUAGAAAGGAAAACCCGUUACACCACUGCCCCUAGAAGGGACCACCUGGGCUCACACUCAGUUUCACUGAACAUUCCUGUAAUUCUUCCAGCUAGUGCCUUUUUCUGAUCACUUAAAUUCCAUUUUGGAUGACCAAUCAAAUCUGUAAGUAUUGCCUAAGGCCCUCCAGUGUUCAGAGGACUGGGGAGGCAGUCCUUGGGGCAAGAAUUCUGGGACAAGGUUGGGGGACACACAGACUCAGGGAGACAAAAGGCAACACAUCUGAACGAAAGAACAUAAGCGAUGGUCUUCAAUAAAGAGGUAAACUGUGUGGAGUAGCAAGUGCCAUGAGUGGAGAAGGAGAGGGGAUGUGGGCUCCACACUUGCUAGAAGUUUGGCUAGGGGUGAGGGUAGUGGGAGGGUACUUGGAGCUGGACUUCAGAAGAUGGGUGAAAUCUCGAUAGAAAUUGUGAGCAAAGGGAAUGCAAAGAGCAAGAACAAAGCGGAGGGAUGGAGCAGGAUAUAGGCUGGGUUUGUAGGUCUGGCCAAGAUGGAACUCCUGUGGGGGAAGGCAUGGAGGAGCAGACUGCGGCAGUGGUAGGAUAAGGCUGCACCAUGGAGGGCUUUAGAAGCUGCUUUUUCACUGUAAGCUCCUGUGUGCUUUUUUCCAGAUGAAGAUUUGUUGCCAGCAAUGGCUCAUCCAAAAAUCUGACAUUUGCCCUGGACCUCUCCUCCUGCCUCCUUCCUCAUACUGGCUCACUAGUAAGCCCCCAGGCACUGAGCAACCCAGGACAAGAGGUCUGUCCAGUUAUCAUGGGUGCUUCUCCGACAGUCCAGGCUAGCUUUCCUCAGCAGGGACUUUCAUUUUGCCAACAGGGCUGGACUGGAAAGAGGCUGGAUCAAGGGUUUGGACUGUGUCUCCACAGGCUACCAUCUUGGGAGGGCCAGUGGCAGAUGCCAGGAGCUGGCUGGUGUCAGGGUACAAUCUGGUAGCCACCGAAGAGACCCUCGUCCUUGGAGGGUCUGUGAGCCCACAGACACCUGUUUGGCUUGACUCGCCUUGGCUGGGAGCAUUUCCGGCAGAGAUGAGUGCGAAAUGGAUGGGUGGUCGAGAGCUGAGACUGAGAGGGAAGAAAGGGUCUGCAGUGUUGAAAUGAGAUGUUUGUGAGCCCCUAUCUACAAACAGGCAAGUGCGGGCCUUAGACAAUGCUGCUGGCAAACUUGGAUCGAGUUUCAUUGUUUCCUGAAGCACUCCAGUGGAAGAGAAGGGUGGAACAGACUUGCUAGAGGUGCUCUCCACGUGAAAGGGAGGAUUAGAAGGAGCAAAUAGCCAGGAGGGCAAGGUGGACUCUGCGAUGACAGAGAGGAUGUGAGGGGUCAGGAUGUGAGCGGGAAAGCCAUUGCUGGGGAUUGCUGGGCACUAUGGUAGCAGUUCCUGGGUCCUUUCCGUGCCUGUGCUCCUGGCCUACUGCCCCCUACACGGAUUCAUGAGACCAAGAAGCAAAAGUGAGGGAAGAAGUGCUUUUCAGCAGAAGCACCCCAGAAACAAAGACAUUCCCACCAGUAGAGCUGCAGCACGGGGGACACUUGCCUCUCCCCCUGCCUCAUAACCAUGACUUUCUCACUCAAAGACUGUCCAUCUGUCCAGCCAUUCCGCCAAGCCCUGGAGCCCCAUGCUGAGUCCCUUUGGAAGAGUCCCAGCUCCUGGGGCGACCUCGGCAACAGCAGGGCCCACGGACUGCUCGGAUCCCAAACUUCCCAUCACAGGCAUGGGUCGGCCUGGCCCAUGGAAGUUAAAAUAACACGCUGGCUGUUUAUGAGCAAGAGUCCUCAAUAAAGUCAUUGGAUGGUUCCCUCGGCA